UACGGGGGGGGGCAAGCGUUGUUCGGAAUUACUGGGCGUAAAGGGCUCGUAGGUGGCCAACUAAGUCAGACGUGAAAUCCCUCAGCUUAACUGGGGAACUGCGUCUGAUACUGGAUGGCUUGAGUUUGGGAGAGGGAUGCGGAAUUCCAGGUGUAGCGGUGAAAUGCGUAGAUAUCUGGAGGAACACCGGUGGCGAAGGCGGCAUCCUGGACCGAGAUUGACGCUGAGGCGCGAAAGCCAGGGGAGCAUACGGG
rnacentral:rRNA from 1 species